rnacentral:rRNA from 1 species
UACGUAGGGUGCAAGCGUUGUCCGGAAUUAUUGGGCGUAAAGAGCUCGUAGGCGGUUUGUCGCGUCUGCUGUGAAAACGCGAGGCUCAACCUCGCGCCUGCAGUGGGUACGGGCAGACUAGAGUGCGGUAGGGGAGAUUGGAAUUCCUGGUGUAGCGGCGGAAUGCGCAGAUAUCAGGAGGAACACCGAUGGCGAAGGCAGAUCUCUGGGCCGUAACUGACGCUGAGGAGCGAAAGCGUGGGGAGCGAACAGG